rnacentral:rRNA from 1 species
GACGAACGCUGGCGGCGUGCCUAAUACAUGCAAGUCGAACGCAGUGGGGACGGGUGAGUAACACGUGGGUAACCUCCCAUCAGAGGGGAUAACACUUGGAAACAGGUGCUAAACCGAUACUGAUGGAUGGACCCGCGGUGCAUUAGCUAGUUGGUGAGGUAACGGCUCACCAAGGCCACGAUGCAUAGCCGAUCGGAGAGGGUGAUCGGCCACACUGGAACUGAGACACGGCCCAGACUCCUACGGGAGGCAGCAGUGGGGAAUCUUGCGCAAUGGACGAAAGUCUGACCGAGCCACGCCGCGUGAGUGAAGAAGGUUUUCGGGUUGUAAAGCUCUUUUGGUGGAGAGGCGUUACCUGACGAAAAAGCAACGGCUAACUACGUGCCAGCAGCCGCGGUAAUAC